rnacentral:sRNA from 1 species
GCUGGGCAUAGCAGUGCAUGCCUGUAUUCCCAGUGGCUCGGGAGGCUGAGGCAGGAGGAUUGCAAGUUGAAAGCCAGCCUCAG